GUUUGAAACCUUGCUCAGAUUGAACGCUGGCGGCAGGCCUAACACAUGCAAGUCGAACGGUAACAGGAAGCAGCUUGCUGCUUUGCUGACGAGUGGCGGACGGGUGAGUAAUGUCUGGGAAACUGCCUGAUGGAGGGGGAUAACUACUGGAAACGGUGGCUAAUACCGCAUAACGUCGCAAGACCAAAGAGGGGGACCUUCGGGCCUCUUGCCAUCAGAUGUGCCCAGAUGGGAUUAGCUUGUUGGUGAGGUAACGGCUCACCAAGGCGACGAUCCCUAGCUGGUCUGAGAGGAUGACCAGCCACACUGGAACUGAGACACGGUCCAGACUCCUACGGGAGGCAGCAGUGGGGAAUAUUGCACAAUGGGCGCAAGCCUGAUGCAGCCAUGCCGCGUGUAUGAAGAAGGCCUUCGGGUUGUAAAGUACUUUCAGCGGGGAGGAAGGUGUUGUGGUUAAUAACCGCAGCAAUUGACGUUACCCGCAGAAGAAGCACCGGCUAACUCCGUGCCAGCAGCCGCGGUAAUACGGAGGGUGCAAGCGUUAAUCGGAAUUACUGGGCGUAAAGCGCACGCAGGCGGUCUGUCAAGUCGGAUGUGAAAUCCCCGGGCUCAACCUGGGAACUGCAUUCGAAACUGGCAGGCUUGAGUCUUGUAGAGGGGGGUAGAAUUCCAGGUGUAGCGGUGAAAUGCGUAGAGAUCUGGAGGAAUACCGGUGGCGAAGGCGGCCCCCUGGACAAAGACUGACGCUCAGGUGCGAAAGCGUGGGGAGCAAACAGGAUUAGAUACCCUGGUAGUCCACGCCGUAAACGAUGUCUACUUGGAGGUUGUGCCCUUGAGGCGUGGCUUCCGGAGCUAACGCGUUAAGUAGACCGCCUGGGGAGUACGGCCGCAAGGUUAAAACUCAAAUGAAUUGACGGGGGCCCGCACAAGCGGUGGAGCAUGUGGUUUAAUUCGAUGCAACGCGAAGAACCUUACCUGGUCUUGACAUCCACGGAAGUUUUCAGAGAUGGGAAAUGUGCCUUCGGGAACCGUGAGACAGGUGCUGCAUGGCUGUCGUCAGCUCGUGUUGUGAAAUGUUGGGGUUAAGUCCCGCAACGAGCGCAACCCUUAUCCUUUGUUGCCAGCGGUCCGGCCGGGAACUCAAAGGAGACUGCCAGUGAUAAACUGGAGGAAGGUGGGGGAUGACGUCAAGUCAUCAUGGCCCUUACGACCAGGGCUACACACGUGCUACAAUGGCGCAUACAAAGAGAAGCGACCUCGCGAGAGCAAGCGGACCUCAUAAAGUGCGUCGUAGUCCGGAUUGGAGUCUGCAACUCGACUCCAUGAAGUCGGAAUCGCUAGUAAUCGUGGAUCAGAAUGCCACGGUGAAUACGUUCCCGGGCCUUGUACACACCGCCCGUCACACCAUGGGAGUGGGUUGCAAAAGAAGUAGGUAGCUUAACCUUCGGGAGGGCGCUUACCACUUUGUGAUUCAUGACUGGGGGUGAAGUCGUAACAGGGGUAAGCGCGUA
rnacentral:rRNA from 1 species